UACGUAGGUGGCAAGCGUUGUCCGGAAUUAUUGGGCGUAAAGCGCGCGCAGGUGGUUCCUUAAGUCUGAUGUGAAAGCCCCCGGCUCAACCGGGGAGGGUCAUUGGAAACUGGGGAACUUGAGUGCAGAAAAGGAGAGUGGAAUUCCAUGUGUAGCGGUGAAAUGCGUAGAUAUAUGGAGGAACACCAGUGGCGAAGGCGGCUCUCUGGUCUGUAACUGACGCUGAGGCUCGAAAGCGUGGGGAGCAAACAGG
rnacentral:rRNA from 1 species